AUUGAACGCUGGCGGCGUGCUUAACACAUGCAAGUCGUACGCGAAAGGGACUUCGGUCCCGAGUAAAGUGGCGCACGGGUGAGUAACACGUGGAUAAUCUGCCUCUAUGAUGGGGAUAACAGUUGGAAACGACUGCUAAUACCGAAUACGCUCAUAAUGAACUUUAUGAGGAAAGGUGGCCUCUGCUUGCAAGCUAUCGCAUAGAGAUGAGUCCGCGUCCCAUUAGCUAGUUGGUGGGGUAACGGCCUACCAAGGCAACGAUGGGUAGCCGAUCUGAGAGGAUGAUCGGCCACACUGGAACUGAAACACGGUCCAG
rnacentral:rRNA from 1 species